UAGCAUUCCUUCCUACCRUCACUUCYCGCAARCAGCCAAAGGGCACCACRUMAGYAGCAACCCYAAGGCCAUUGUACAAGAGAGACGGUUGUUCUUAUGUAGGGACAACGAGACCAUAAAGGGAUMUUAWUCCCUCUACUCGUAAACCAUUCCGCAUCCAAGAGCACGAGCGCCUUCCCAYGUGCCAGAGCAACCAAAUAGGCAUGCUGGGCACACAAGAKCCGCUGCGUGGUUCAUCCAAUACCUUUAACAUGGCACUAGGUGAAUAGCUUUAGGCAACACAAUAAAAUUCCGCURUGUGGGUAUACAACACAGGAACCCAUCCAUGCACRAGAGAGCAAYAUGCCUCCGAGAAAYCACUGAAUUGCMUCGAGGUAAACAGUUCGAUGCGCGAGCACAGAGCCUGCCAACCCCAAAAGCU
rnacentral:misc_RNA from 1 species